rnacentral:rRNA from 1 species
GACGGAGGAGGCAAGAGUUAUCCGGAAUUAUUGGGCGUAAAGGGUGCGUAGGCGGCUGGUCAAGUCUGGGGUUAAAGGCCACAGCUCAACUGUGGGAAGGCCCUGGAAACUGACCGGCUAGAGUGAGGUAGGGGUUGCGGGAAUUCCCGGUGUAGCGGUGAAAUGCGUAGAGAUCGGGAAGAACACCUGAGGCGGAAGCGCGCAACUGGGCCUCAACUGACGCUGAGGUACGAAAGCUAGGGAAGCGAAUGGG